rnacentral:tRNA from 2 species
CGGGGCGUAGCGCAGCCUGGUAGCGCACCAGCAUGGGGUGCUGGGUGCCGGAGGUUCAAAUCCUCUCGCCCCGACCA